GGCCUGGUGGUCUAGUAGUAUGAUUCCUUCUUAGGGUGCACUUGUGUGCGCAACAUGGAGGAGGUCCCGGGUUCAAUUCCCGGCCAGGCCC